rnacentral:rRNA from 1 species
AUUGAACGCUGGCGGCAGGCCUAACACAUGCAAGUCGAGCGAGUGGCGGACGGGUGAGUAAUGCCUAGGAAUCUGACUGAUGGCGGGGGAUAACUACUGGAAACGGUAGCUAAUACCGCAUACCAUCAGAUGAACCCAUAUGGGAUUAGCUAGUAGGUGGGGUAAAGGCUCACCUAGGCGACGAUCUCUAGCUGGUCUGAGAGGAUGAUCAGCCACAUUGGGACUGAGACAAGGCCCAGACUCCUACGGGAGGCAGCAGUGGGGAAUAUUGCACAAUGGGCGCAAGCCUGAUGCAGCCAUGCCGCGUGUAUGAAGAAGGCCUUAGGGUUGUAAAGUACUUUCAGCGGGGAGGCGUUACCCGCAGAAGAAGCACCGGCUAACUCCGGGCCAGCCGCCGCGGUAAUAC